rnacentral:rRNA from 1 species
GACGAACGCUGGCGGCGUGCUUAACACAUGCAAGUCGAACGGAAAGGCCCUGCUUUUGUGGGGUGCUCGAGUGGCGAACGGGUGAGUAACACGUGAGUAACCUGCCCUUGACUUUGGGAUAACUUCAGGAAACUGGGGCUAAUACCGGAUAGGAGCUCCUGCUGCAUGGUGGUGGUUGGAAAGUUUCGGCGGUUGGGGAUGGACUCGCGGCUUAUCAGCUUGUUGGUGGGGUAGUGGCUUACCAAGGCUUUGACGGGUAGCCGGCCUGAGAGGGUGACCGGCGACAUGGGGACUGAGAGAGGGCCCAGACGCCUACGGGAGGCAGCAGUGGGGAAUAUUGCACAAUGGGGGGAAGCCUGAUGCAGCAACGCCGCGUGCGGGAUGACGGCCUUCGGGUUGUAAACCGCUUUCGCCGGUGACGAAGCGUGAGUGACGGUAAUGGGUAAAGAAGCACCGGCUAACUACGUG